CUGCCCUGGCAUCUGGGAUAACAUCUCGAAAGGGGUGCUAAUACCGGAUAAGCCCACGAGGUCUUUGGACCUUGUGGGAAAAGGUGGCCUCUGAAUAUGCUACUGUACCAGGAUGAGUCCGCGUCCCAUUAGCUAGUUGGUGGUGUAAUGGACCACCAAGGCGACGAUGGGUAGCUGGUCUGAGAGGAUGAUCAGCCACACUGGAACUGAGACACGGUCCAGACUCCUACGGGAGGCAGCAGUGGGGAAUUUUGCGCAAUGGGGGAAACCCUGACGCAGCAACGCCGCGUGUGUGAUGAAGGCCCUUGGGUCGUAAAGCACUGUCAGAGGGAAAGAAGUGUAGGGGUGCUAAUACCAUCUCUAUUUGACGGUACCCUCAAAGGAAGCACCGGCUAACUCCGUGCCAG
rnacentral:rRNA from 1 species